GACGAACGCUGGCGGCAUGCCUAAUACAUGCAAGUCGAGCGAACAGAUGAAGUGCUUGCACUUCUGACGUUAGCGGCGAACGGGUGAGUAACACGUAAGGAAUCUACCUAUAAGCGGAGGAUAACAUUCGGAAACGGGUGCUAAUACCGCAUAAUAUCUUCUUCCGCAUGGAAGAAGAUUGAAAGACGGCUCUGCUGUCACUUAUAGAUGACCUUGCGGUGCAUUAGUUAGUUGGUGGGGUAACGUCCUACCAAGACGAUGAUGCAUAGCCGACCUGAGAGGGUGAUCGGCCACAUUGGGACUGAGACACGGCCCAAACUCCUACGGGAGGCAGCAGUAGGGAAUCUUCCGCAAUGGGCGAAAGCCUGACGGAGCAAUGCCGCGUGAGUGAAGAAGGCCUUCGGGUCGUAAAACUCUGUUAUAAGAGAAGAACAAAUUGUAGAGUAACUGCUGCAGUCUUGACGGUAUCUUAUCAGAAAGCCACGGCUAACUACGUGCCAGCAGCCGCCGCCG
rnacentral:rRNA from 1 species